GGGAGGGAAGGAAGGGGAGAUCAAGGAGAAGAUGAACUAAAAGUAAGAGGGCAGGGAAAAGUGAGAGCAGGACGACAAACUCUGGACAAAACUCCUUGGAGGAAGAGAAAGAGGAGGGCGGAGGAGGGAAAAAAAAAGCAGUUGAGGGCAUGAUAGAUGUAAUGAGUGCGGAUAAAGGCAUCAGUGCAGGUCUGUGGUCUGUGGAGCAGACCGAUUCAAAACACUCUUCAAAGAGUUUUCAUCGUCUGAGGAGGUGGGGACGGCGGAGGACUGGAGGGACUCGGCCGAGGUGGGGGACUUUCCUCCACUCUCUCCCCAGUGGCGGUGCGAGUCGAGCGGCUGCAGCCGGGGCCACCAAGGCCCCCUUUGUGCCGGUUAUCACCAGGUGGUGAGUGAUGGCACCGUGGCCUCCCGCUCUCAGAGAGGCAGCAGGGCUCAGAGGGGAGGAGGAGGAGAAGGUGCAGGAGUGGAGCAGCUUGGAAUGUUCCCAGAAGAGACAGAGGGCGCGAAAGAGAGAAAGAGAGAAAGAAAGAGGCUGUUUGAAGAGAUGGCAGCGCUGGAGUUGUAGCAUCUGUACUCGUCUCACAGGUGUGCUGAGGAGGAAUGUGCUUUGCUGUGAUGACUCAAUAGGGCUUGAACCAUCAAUGAAAUAGCAAAGAGAAAAAAAAACACUUCUAACAGUGUGGGAAUUGUCAGGAUUUCACUCAUUAUCUUUCUAGUUCAUCUCAUAACCUUGUUUUAUUUGACAGGCUCCAAUUUAACAAGCUGAUGUCAUCUGAGUUCUAACUAGCUGUGUGUUUCCUGCUAUGAUUUCAUGUCUUGACUCAAUUAUGCUAACUGAGACACGGUCGCGGGCAAUGAGUGACGGACAAACGUCUAGACGGUGAGCGGACAUCGAAACACAUCUGAGUCACUGGAUACUGGAAACUGCCUAGACGACUCAAGGGGUCAUAAGUCAGUUUGCCUCCCCACCAGCACUACUCUCCUUCUCCCACGCUUCCUCCAUCGCUGACACACCUGUUCUCUCCCCAGCACCCGCGUCCUUUUUGCCUUCAGUCUCUGUCAUACAGAAGCAUGAAUACACACAGAUACCAGUGUCACAGACAUCUCUCUCUCUCUCUCACACACACACACACACACACAUUCCAAACCUUCCCAGCUGCCUGUGCACCUGGGCUGCCAGCUGUCAUCGCCGUGGUAACUGGCAUACAGCAGGCUGUGUCAUUAUCACCUGGCUCAUCUCCCUCCAAAGGGAAGAAAGACAGAAAGAAGUGGGCACAAGAGGAACAGAGAGGCAGAGGAAAAAGACUGAGAAGGCAGAGCGAGAGGCGAUUGUGAAUGAGAGGAUCACUGAACAAUGGUGUAAAGAUCAAGGGGUUUAAAGAAAACCAAGGGACACAAACAUUAAACACGGUAAAGGAGCAGUGAAAAAGUCAUUAUUUUUGACACUGAAUAAUGUCAGAGCAACAGCAAUUUCUUUUUUACAUACAGUACCUAUACAAAUGAUUCACUCCUCUUAGAAGUUUUCCCCUUUUACUGCUUUUCUAAAUUGCAUCAUGGCUAAUUCAAUAUGUCCUUCUGGACAAGUAUUUAUACAAAAAAAAAAACAAAAUAUAAUGUCAAAGUGAAAACAGAUUUAGUACUUUCAAUUAAUUAUGUAAAAUAAAUUUCCACAAAUCCCUGGUUCACGUCAGAGCCUGGGAUCUUUCUGCAUGGAGUUUGUAAGUUCUCCCAGUACAUGCGUGAGUUUUCACCAGAUUUUCCGGCUUCCUCCCACAGUUCAAAAACAUACUAAGGUUAAUCGGUCAUUCUAAAUUGUCCGUAAGUGUGAAUGUGAGAGUGCUUAUUUGUCUCCAUAUGUAGCCCUGUGAGAGCCUAGCCGCGCUAGACCCAUGUUCUGAAGGCACAAGGGUCUAGGACCGCUGGACAGGGAGGGAGGCGGGCUAAAAGGUUGUCUUUCAAAUCACUCUGAAGCAGUUGAGUAGGUAUACAACCAAUCAGCGCAACGAAUAGGCUGACGUAGUUCCUAGAGCGCCGGCGGAUUGUGGCUAAGUCCCAUUAGCUUCCCAACCAGCGGAGCCAACUGGUAUAUUAAGGAUUUGCCAUAUCCCGUCGGCAUAAGUCCCAAUACGUCUUUCUUCUCAAUGAAACACUUAAGUGCCGUCCUUUGUUUAUCUUUCAAGUUGAAUUUUAGCUUCAAAUCUUUAAGGGCUGUGGCCAAAGCCGAGUGGAAAGAUAACUGUUUAUUGUGCGCCAGUUGUUUCUGUCAGAAUCGUCGCGCCUCUGUCGUCACUUUGUUACGCCCGCCUUCUGACUCCACACUUCAUGGUGACUCGUCCGGCCAGUUUUAGGAGAAUCCAGCCUCGAGCCUUAUGGAGGGUAACUAGACCCACCCUGGCAGAGAAUUAAAUUCGUUGCCGUGGGUUGUCUAACAGGGCUAGCCGUAGGUAGGCUAGCCCUGUGAUAGACUGAUGAUCUGUCCGUGGUGUCCCCCGCCUUCACCCAAAAUCAGCUGGGAUAGACUAAAGCCCCUGUGACUCUCAUGAGGAUUAUAUGGUGUAUAGAUAAUGGAUGGAUGGAAGUUUGCACAAAUAUUCACCACUUUAAGUCAGUGUUUACAAGAUGCACCUUUGACUGCAGUUACAACAUUGAGCUUAUGUAUAGGUCUUAAUCAGUCUUGCACAUCUGGACACUGGGAAUUUUACCCAAUUUUUCUGUGCAAAGGUACUCAAGCUCUGUCAGGUUGGCCAAGGAUUAUGACUUUUCAAGUCCAGCCUCAAAUUCUCAGUUAGAUUGAGGUCUAGACUUUGACUCAGCCACUCCGAGCAUUCACUUUGCUGCCUUUAAACAGUUUUCUGUGCAGCUUUUUUUUUAUCUGUCUGAAAAGCAAAUCUUCUCCCAAGUCACAUUUCUCUUGCAUCAUUUGCCCUCCAGGAUUUCCCUUCACUUAGCUGCAUUAAUCUUACCUUCUACUUUUAAAAACCUACAAGGGUCUACUGCCGGAAAGCACCCCCACAUUAUGAUGCUGCCACCACCUUGCUUCACCGCGGGGAUGCUGGUUUGUGAUAAUGUGUAGUGUUUGGCAGCUGUCAAACACUGCAUCUAGACAGGUGGCCAAAAAGCUCAGUUUUGGUCUCAUCAGACCAAAGAACCAUCUUCCACUUGAUUUCAGAGUUUCCCACAUACCUACUGACAAAAUGUAGCUGAGAUUUAUUUGAGCUUUUUUCCUUUUUCUUUGUCUUUUCUUUGAUUGGAGAAAAAAAUCAGGUCAGCAGUUUUCAUUAUCUCUUCAAUUUUACUCACUGAUGCUUAUAACUCCUUUAGAGGAGUCAUAGGUGUCUUGGUGGCCUCCCACACUAGUCUGUCUUGCACUGUCAACAUUUUUGACAACACCCUGCUCUAUACAGAUUCACACAUGUGCCACAUAUCGUCUAUUUCUUAAAUAUGGAUUUACUCCAAGUACUCCAAGGGAUAGUAUAUAUUUUCUUGUAUCUAUUCCCUGACUUAUGCUUUUCAAUAACGUUACAUAGUUGCUUAGAGUGUUGUUUUGUCUUCACGAUGCAGUUAUAGGCAGGAGUACUGCUUCAUUAGUGUCUGGACCUUCCCAUUAUGAGUGUCUUUAUACUACGGUUACUUCAGACACAUUUACUGCACACAAUAAUUUCAAUAAAUGUGUUACUUCUCGCAUGAAUUGACUGCAUCUGUGAUGAAUUAAGUGAGUUGCUUCCAAGAGGAUGAAUACUGGCGCCAUCACUCAUUUUACAUUUUAUAUUUUUAAUUCAUUGGCAUUACUUUGUAGAAAUCUAUUUUCACUUUGUCAUAAAAAAGUCAUUUUUGUCAAUUCUUGGAAAAGAAAAAAAAGCCAAAUUAAAUUGACUACUUUUUCAGUGUUAAAAAGCUAACAAUACUGUAGUGUAAAUUCAUUAUAUUAGAGAUAAUGGAGAGGCAUUGCUGUGUCACAUGAUAGAAGUGAAAAAGUACUGAGACUUGUUUUUGGGUGGAAAAAUACUCAAGGUCAUGACAUGAAGUUUCUUUUCAAGUGAAACUGUCGGUUUUUUCAGCCUGCCUCACUGGUCAGACUCCCACUCUGAUAAUCUGUAUGUCAUAGUGACCGUCUCUUCUGCUGCAGAAAACAUAUCUUGUGCUCAUUAAAGGAAAACCAAGAAACAAUGA